rnacentral:rRNA from 1 species
GACGAAGGGGGCUAGCGUUGUUCGGAAUUACUGGGCGUAAAGGGCUCGUAGGCGGCCAACUAAGUCAGACGUGAAAUCCCCAGGCUUAACUUGGGAACUGCGUCUGAUACUGGGAGGCUUGAGUGCGGGAGAGGGAUGUGGAAUUCCAGGUGUAGCGGUGAAAUGCGUAGAUAUCUGGAGGAACACCGGUGGCGAAAGCGGCUCACUGGACCGUCACUGACGCUGAGGUGCGAAAGCUAGGGUAGCAAACGGGG